CCCUUAGAUGUUCUGGGCCGCACGCGCGCUACACUGACGAAUGCAACGAGCUUAUAACCUUGGCCGAAAGGUCUGGGUAAUCUCCAAAUUUCGUCGUGAUGGGGAUAGAUUAUUGCAAUUAUUAAUCUUCAACGAGGAAUGCCUAGUAGGCGCAAGUCAUCAGCUUGCGUUGAUUACGUCCCUGCCCUUUGUACACACCGCCCGUCGCUCCUACCGAUUGAAUGGUCCGGUGAAGCGUUCGGACCGUGGCCUUUGGACGGUUCGCCGUCUGUUGGCUGCGGGAAGUUCGUUAAACCUUAUCAUUUAGAGGAAGGAGAAGUCGUANCA
rnacentral:rRNA from 1 species